rnacentral:rRNA from 1 species
GACGAACGCUGGCGGCGUGCCUAAUACAUGCAAGUAGAACGGUAAAGCAGUAGCUUGCUUCUCUGGAUGAGUGGCGAACGGGUGAGUAACGCGUAGGUAACCUGCCUUGUAGCGGGGGAUAACUAUUGGAAACGAUAGCUAAUACCGCAUAAUAGUAGAUGUUGCAUGACAUUUGCUUGAAAGUUGCAAUUGCAUCACUACCAGAUGCACCUGCGUUGUAUUAGCUUGUGGGUGGGGUAACGGCUCCCCAAGGCGACGAUACAUAGCCGACGUGAGAGGGGGGUUGGCCCCACUGGGACUGUGACACGGCACAGACUCCUUCGGGAGGCAGCCGUAGGGAAUCUUCGGCCAUGGGCGGAAGUCUGACCGCGACACGCCGAGGGAGUGAAGAAGGUCUUCGGGUCGUAAAGCUCUGUUUUCAGGGAAGAACGAGUGUGAGAGUGGAACGUUGACACUGUGACGGUAUCUUACCAGAAAGAAACGGCUAACUACGUG